UAACAUGCUGUCGGUCCUAGGGAUUCAA
rnacentral:sRNA from 1 species